AUUGAACGCUGGCGGCAUGCCUUACACAUGCAAGUCGAACGGCAGCACGGGGCAACCUGGUGGCGAGUGGCGAACGGGUGAGUAAUGCAUCGGAACGUACCUUUCAGUGGGGGAUAACGUAGCGAAAGUUACGCUAAUACCGCAUAUUCUGUGAGCAGGAAAGCAGGGGGUCGCAAGAACUUGCGCUGAUUGAGCGGCCGAUGUCAGAUUAGCUAGUUGGUGAGGUAAAGGCUCACCAAGGCGACGAUCUGUAGCGGGUCUGAGAGGAUGAUCCGCCACACUGGAACUGAGAUACGGUCCAGACUCCUACGGGAGGCAGCAGUGGGGAAUUUUGGACAAUGGGGGCAACCCUGAUCCAGCCAUGCCGCGUGAGUGAAGAAGGCCUUCGGGUUGUAAAGCUCUUUCGGCCGGGAAGAAAUCGCACGGGCUAAUACCCUGUGUGGAUGACGGUACCGGAAUAAGAAGCACCGGCUAACUACGUGCCAGCAGCCGCGGUAAAAC
rnacentral:rRNA from 1 species